rnacentral:rRNA from 1 species
GACAGAGGAUGCAAGCGUUAUCCGGAAUGAUUGGGCGUAAAGCGUCUGUAGGUGGCUUUUUAAGUCCGCCGUCAAAUCCCAGGGCUCAACCCUGGACAGGCGGUGGAAACUACCAAGCUGGAGUAUGGCAGGGGAGACUGGAAUUCCUGGUGUAGCGGUGAAAUGCGCAGAUAUCAGGAGGAACACCGGUGGCGAAGGCGGGUCUCUGGGCCGAUACUGACGCUGAGGAGCGAAAGCAUGGGUAGCGAACAGG